UACGUAGGUGGCGAGCGUUGUCCGGAUUUACUGGGCGUAAAGGGAGCGUAGGCGGACUUUUAAGUGAGAUGUGAAAUACUCGGGCUCAACUUGAGUGCUGCAUUUCAAACUGGAAGUCUAGAGUGCAGGAGAGGAGAAUGGAAUUCCUAGUGUAGCGGUGAAAUGCGUAGAGAUUAGGAAGAACACCAGUGGCGAGGGCGAUUCUCUGGACUGUAACUGACGCUGAGGCUCGAAAGCGUGGGGAGCAAACAGG
rnacentral:rRNA from 1 species